rnacentral:rRNA from 1 species
UGAUAGGUCAUCUCAUCUGGAAGGAGAGAUGGCUUAAAGGGGUACGCGGGCUUCUUCCGCGAAUCUGCUCCAGGAUGGGACUGCGUCCGAUCAGGCUGUUGGCGGGGUAAUGGCCCACCAAACCUGUAACCGGUACGGGCCUUGAGAGAGGUGGCCCGGAGAUGGACACUGAGAGAAGGGUCCAGGUCCUACGGGGCGCAGCAGGCGCGAAACCUUCGCAAUGCGCGAAAGCGUGACGAGGUUAAUCCGAGUGACUCCCGCUGAGGGGGUCUUUUGUCAUCUGUAAAUAGGCAGGCGAAUAAGGGGAGGGCAAGCCUGGUGUCAGCCGCCGCAGUAAUACCAGCUCCUCGAGUGGUCGGGGCGAUUAUUGGGCCUAAAGCAUCCGUAGCCGGUUCCGUAGGUCCUCUGUUAAAUCCAACCGCUUAACGGUUGACCUGCAGAGGAUACCGCGGGACUAGGAGGCGGGAGAGGCGGACGGUACUCCGCGUGUAGGGGUAAAAUCCCUUUGAUCCGCGGAAGACCACCAGUGGCGAAGGCGGUCCGCCAGAACGCGCUCGACGGUGAGGGAUGAAGCUGGGGGAGCGAACCGGAUUAGAUACC